UUAGUAGCGCGAGUGAAGCGGCAAAAGCUCAAAUUUGAAAUCUGGCACUUUCAGUGUCCGAGUUGUAAUUUGAAGAAGGUAUCUUUGGGUCUGGCUCUUGUCUAUGUUUCUUGGAACAGAACGUCACAGAGGGUGAGAAUCCCGUGCGAUGAGAUGUCCCAUACCUAUGUAAAGUUCCUUCAAAAAGUCAAGUUGUUGGGAAAAAAUA
rnacentral:rRNA from 1 species